CGAAAGGUCGCGAAAUCAUUGAAAGGCUGGCAACACCAAAGUGAGUAUUUGCUGAUGUAUACAUAGAUAUACUGAGUAUGUUCCUAUAUUUACGCAGAUAUUGUGAGUAUCUUUCACCAAAUAUAAGUAUAUUAUAUUAUGAAUAUUGUCCAUAGAUAGAAUACUAUAUCGUCUAUGUGUAUUAAGUGAGUUUUGCACACUUUUCUGUUGAGAGUACCGCGUACAGAAUAUAUCUUGCAUGAGUGAGUGAGUGGUUUACUGUAGUACCAACAUUCCCUGACUAUAAAGUUACAAUAUGGCCGAAAGUACAAAUGCGCGCCAUUUAAGUAGAACUUUUGAAGUUGUGUUUAACUAAAGAUCUAAACAUAUAAAUGAGCAGUCUCUCUGACGUGAUAUAUAUAAGAUAUCUAGGAAUGUUGUCUUGGAAGACCACAGUCCGUAUAACACAGAACAUUACAAG